AUUUUUUUAAUUUUUUUAGUUUAAUCAAAACUGAAUUGAUCAAUUGUACAACCUUAAUCUAAACGGUAAAACUAGCCACAUCAACGAAUUCCGAUCCGAAAUCACACCGAAACUCGCCCGGCCAUGUCCGGGUGGAAUUGUCGACACUUCUCCGUAGAAAAAUCUGAAAGCUGAAUUAUACGCGUCCAAUGAUGGACCCACAAAAUCAACACACGUUCCUCAUCCGACGUCCUUACACGCUAAAAACACGCAAACACUUCUUUCAUUUUCUCCCUCUUCCGCCCGCGUCCACCUACAUCGCCUCCUAUAUGUCCUCUUGAUCCAAAUCCAAACUUAAAUCUCAUCAAUCCAAUAAUGGCUUCUAAACCCUCCUCCUCCACUCCUUACUUCCAAGACAUGGACGAGCUACAGAAGGUCUUCAACCAGUUUGACACCAACGGUGACGGUAAGAUCUCCGUUGCUGAACUAGGUGGCGUUCUCAAAGCCAUGGGCUGUAACUACACCGACGCCGAGCUCAAACGCGCCAUGGACGACGUUGACACCGACAAGGAUGGCUUCAUCAAUCUCCAGGAAUUCUCUCAGCUCUUCCAAUCCUCCUCCGGCGCUGCCGCUGACUCCGAGUUGAAGGAGGCUUUCGAUCUGUAUGACCAGAAUAAGAAUGGACUCAUCUCAUCUGCUGAGUUGCACAAGGUGUUGAAUCGCUUGGGGAUGCCGUGUUCUUUGGAUGAUUGUGUUAGGAUGAUAACGAGUGUCGAUUCGGAUGGGGAUGGGUGUGUCAAUUUCGAAGAGUUUCAGAAGAUGAUGGCUGCUACUGCCAACAAUAGAACCACUACUAACACAGGCAAAUGAAACAGACGAAGAGUUUUCUUCGGUUUCGAUCUGGGUACUUUUACUAGUUUUCUCCCUUUUUGCUUUAAUUCUAAUUCGUAGUGAUAAGCGAAUAUUUUAUAUAUAUAAUGGUCUUUUAGCUUUUGAAUUAUUAAUUUUGAUUUGGAAUGCUUGUGAUUAUGGAUUUUAAGAACCAGAAUACUGAAAAGGAAAAUUAUUCUAUCUUGGGUAGGGAAAUUUUCUGGGAAACCAAACAGAGAUAAAGGAAAAUGCAAGAAUAAUUCUGAUUUAGGAUAAAAAUAAUGAAAAAUAAAUAAAGCCAUAAUUUAUGGAAAUGGCAACUUGUCGUUGCGUGGUACGGUAAAGUGCAGUAUAAUAAUGUGUCUUUUGUGAUUUGUGAUGAUGACUGGUCAACGAAGACUCCGUGUGUUCCACAAGACAAUGGUAUUCUG
rnacentral:misc_RNA from 1 species